AGCCUUAUGUUUUAGACAUAAGGGUUGGAGAUUGUUGUCAACUGGCUGACUGGUAUUCUUAGAUUGAAUAUCGUC
rnacentral:sRNA from 1 species